rnacentral:rRNA from 1 species
GCCACACCGGGACUGAGACACGGCCCGGACUCCUACGGGAGGCAGCAGUGGGGAAUAUUGGACAAUGGGGGCAACCCUGAACCAGCCAUGCCGCGUGUGUGAAGAAGGCCUUUUGGUUUGUAAAGCACUUUAAGCAGUGAAGAAGACCUAACGGUUAAUACCCGUUAGCGAUGACAUUAGCUGCAGAAUAAGCACCGGCUAACUCUGUGCCAGCAGCCGCGGUAAUACAGAGGGUGCAAGCGUUAAUCGGAAUUACUGGGCGUAAAGCGAGCGUAGGUGGCUUGAUAAGUCAGAUGUGAAAUCCCCGGGCUUAACCUGGGAACUGCAUCUGAUACUGUUGGGCUAGAGUAGGUGAGAGGGAGGUAGAAUUUCAGUGUAGCGGUGAAAUGCGUAGAGAUCUGAAGGAAUACCGAUGGCGAAGGCAGCCUCCUGGCAUCAUACUGACACUGAGGUUCGAAAGCGUGGGUAGCAAACAGGAUUAGAUACCCUGGUAGUCCACGCCGUAAACGAUGUCUACUAGUCGUUGGGGAACUUGAUUCCUUAGUGACGCAGCUAACGCAAUAAGUAGACCGCCUGGGGAGUACGGCCGCAAGGUUAAAACUCAAAUGAAUUGACGGGGGCCCGCACAAGCGGUGGAGCAUGUGGUUUAAUUCGAUGCAACGCGAAGAACCUUACCUGGUCUUGACAUAUCUAGAAUCCUGCAGAGAUGCGGGAGUGCCUUCGGGAAUUAGAAUACAGGUGCUGCAUGGCUGUCGUCAGCUCGUGUCGUGAGAUGUUGGGUUAAGUCCCGCAACGAGCGCAACCCUUUUCCUUAGUUACCAGCGGUUUGGCCGGGGACUCUAAGGAUACUGCCAGUGACAAACUGGAGGAAGGCGGGGACGACGUCAAGUCAUCAUGGCCCUUACGACCAGGGCUACACACGUGCUACAAUGGUAGGUACAGAGGGCAGCUACACAGCGAUGUGAUGCGAAUCUCAAAAAGCCUAUCGUAGUCCAGAUUGGAGUCUGCAACUCGACUCCAUGAAGUAGGAAUCGCUAGUAAUCGCGGAUCAGAAUGCCGCGGUGAAUACGUUCCCGGGCCUUGUACACACCGCCCGUCACACCAUGGGAGUUGAUUGCACCAGAAGUGGGUAGCCUAACUUUUAGAGGGCGCUCACCACGGUGUGGUUGAUGACUGGGGUGAAGUCGUAACAAGGUAA